rnacentral:rRNA from 1 species
UAGCCGUAAACGAUACUCGCUAGGUGUCGGCCACGGUGCGACCGUUGUCGGUGCCGUAGGGAAGCCGUGAAGCGAGCCACCUGGGAAGUACGGCCGCAAGGCUGAAACUUAAAGGAAUUGGCGGGGGAGCACAACAACGGGUGGAGCUUGCGGUUUAAUUGGAUUCAACGCCGGAAAUCUUACCGGGACCGACAGCAACAUGAAGGCCAAGCUGAAGACUUUGCCGGAUUAGCUGAGAGGAGGUGUAUGGCGUCAGUGACU